UACGUAGGGGGCAAGCGUUGUCCGGAAUUAUUGGGCGUAAAGCGCACGCAGGCGGCUUUGUAAGUUUGGUGUUUAAUCUCAGAGCUCAACUCUGAUUCGCAUCGAAAACUGCAAGGCUUGAGUACAGAAGAGGAAAGUGGAAUUCCAGGUGUAGCGGUGAAAUGCGUAGAUAUCUGGAGGAACACCGGUGGCGAAGGCGGCAUCCUGGACCGGUAUUGACGCUGAGGCGCGAAAGCCAGGGGAGCAAACGGG
rnacentral:rRNA from 1 species